AGCUCCAGUAGCGUAUAUUAAAGUUGUUGCAGUUAAAAAGCUCGUAGUUGGAUUUCUGGUACGCUGCGCCUGGCCCGCCCGCGUUAGCGGUGUGAGUGUCGGUGCGCGGUUGCCAUCCUUCUAGAGAACGUGCCUACCUUUAAUUAGGCCGGGCACGGGAUCUAGAUCAUUUACUUUGAAAAAAUUAGAGUGUUUAAAGCAGGCUUUUGCUAUGAAUACAUUAGCAUGGAAUAAUAAUAUAGGACUUUGGUUCUAUUUUGUUGGUUUCUAGGACUAAAGUAAUGAUUGAUAGGGAUAGUUGGGGGUGCUAGUAUUCAGCGGCCAGAGGUGAAAUUCUUGGAUUCGCUGAAGACUAACUUAUGCGAAAGCAUUCACCAAGGAUGUCUUCUUUAAUCAAGAA
rnacentral:rRNA from 1 species